AGCAGCCGCGGUAAUUCCAGCUCCAAUAGCGUAUAUUAAAGUUGUUGCAGUUAAAAAGCUCGUAGUUGAAUUUUGGAUUCUUCCAAUUGGUCCAUCUUUUAGAUGAGUACUAGUUGUGUGGGGUCUAUCCGCCUGGUGAUACGUAAUGUCCUUUAUUGGAUGUUGCGGGUAGUCAGGACCUUUACCUUGAAAAAUUAGAGUGUUUAAAGCAGGCUUAUGCCGGAAUACAUUAGCAUGGAAUAAUAGAAUAGGACGAAGUUGUUUUAUUUGUUGGUUUCUAGGACAACCGUAAUGAUUAAUAGGGAUAGUUGGGGGCAUUAGUAUUCAAUUGUCAGAGGUGAAAUUCUUGGAUUUAUUGAAGACUAACUACUGCGAAAGCAUUUGCCAAGGAUGUUUUCAUUAAUCAAGAACGAAAGUUAGGGGAUCGAAGACGAUCAGAUACCGUCGUAGUCUUAACCAUAAACUA
rnacentral:misc_RNA from 1 species